rnacentral:rRNA from 1 species
UGGGGAAUAUUGCGCAAUGGGGGGAACCCUGACGCAUCCAUGCCGCGUGAAUGAAGAAGGCCUUAGGGUUGUAAAGUUCUUUCGGUAUUGAGGAAGGUUGAUGUGUUAAUAGCACAUCAAAUUGACGUUAAAUACAGAAUAACCACCGGCUAACUCCGUGCCAUCACCCGCGGUAAUACUGAGGGUGCGAGCGUUAAUCGGAAUAACUGGGCGUAAAGGGCACGCAGGCGGUUAUUUAAGUGAGGUGUGAAAGCCCCGGGCUUAACCUGGGAAUUGCAUUUCAACUGGGUAACUAGAGUACUUUAGGGAGGGGUAGAAUUCCACGUGUAGCGGUGAAAUGCGUAGAGAUGUGGAGGAAUACCGAAGGCGAAGGCAGCCCCUUGGGAAUGUACUGACGCUCAUGUGCGAAAGCGUGGGGAGCAAACAGGAUUAAAUACCCUGGUAGUCCACGCUGUAAACGCUGUCGAUUUAAGGGUUGGGGUUUAACUCUGGCGCCCGUACUACGUGAUAAAUCGACCGCCUGGGGAGUACGGCCGCAAGGUU